rnacentral:lncRNA from 1 species
AUUUGGUGCACGUAUGGCAGCAUUUCUCUAGCUAAGUCUAGAUCCUUCCAAUGGAAGAUUCUAGACCCACCUAGACUUCUCUUGUAUAUUCUACUAGGUGUAGAGAAUUAAGGAGUGCCAUGACACCCGAUGGGCGGGUCAUCCGGGUCAGAAGCGCACUCAAGCGUUGGUAGAGGCUAACUACUGGCCUCGUAUGCGGAACAAAAUCGAAUCACAUCGGACAUCUCCAGACAAGGAAGCAGAAUGCAUCACGACUGACCGGGUGAUUCGGCGAAGGUUCAGGGAACCAUUGCAUGAAUAUCUUGUCAAGUGGAAGGGACUACCGGAAAGAGAGGAAAGCAUGGAGCCAAAGGAGGCGCUUUGGCAGUUUGAAGAUCAAAUCCGGGCCUUCCACGAAGAGUCGACAAGGGCGUCGACGCAAUAGGUGGGGGAGGUUGUCACACCCCUACGUUUUCUAAGAGGUUAUGCCAUGCGGGCGAUGACUGGGCGACACAUUGGCGAUGAUUUGGCGCACGGAUGGCAGCAUUUCUCUAGCUAAGUCUAGAUCCUUCCAAUGGAAGACUCUAGAUCCUUCUAGUCCCAUCUUGUAUAUUCUACAAGGUGUAGAGAUUUGUAGAGAUUUGUAGAACUCUCUAGAGCUUUGAUCUUAGCCAUUGAUUAGAAUAGAUCUUUGCCAUUGGUUUGGGACUCUAGAAACUAUAAAUAGGCUAGAGGCAUUUGGCAAUGGCAUCGAAGAAACAUUCAAGCAAUCCAACACUUGUAUAAAGCAUUCUCUUGUUUAAUACAAAGCUUUCUUGCAAGCUUCUCUUCUUAGCUUUGUUGUGGCAAUAUUUCGGGGAAAGACUGACUUAGCACAUCGCAGGGGCGGAUUGUGACAAAGGCCGCACGGAAGAUAGCUAGGAAGUUAUCCAGUCCGUGACAGUUGGUAUCAGAGCAACGCUACGAAAGGGUUCGUGGGUUAGCUGGGCACAUUC